CUUGUCCCGAUUUCGCCGCCAAUCCUAUAGCCAGUAGUAGAGGUGAUUGAAAAGAAGCUUCAUUUUUCGCUUUUAGCGCUCCGUCUUUAUGUCUUUGGUUCAAGCAAGCUCAUUCAACAUUUCAAACCAGCGCUCCGUCUUUAUGUCUUGGACCAGUAUUGAUCCAGAUUUGAAGAAGACCCACAGUCGUAGUCAUCAGCCAGACCCGUAAAUAUCAGGGCUGAGACCCGUACCAUCACGGCUCAGACCCGUAUCUCCAUCACGCCCCGGACGCGUUCACAAUCACGGCUCAGACCCGUAUCCCCUCCCCCCUCCCCACGGCCUAGACCCGUGCCACCUCAUAGCCCACUCUUAGAGCUUAGAACUGUGUAUAUAAAUAUAUGUGUGAAACUCACCACAAGUGAAAUAUUGAAUAAAAAUGUAAAUAUGUGUCAAUGAA